rnacentral:rRNA from 1 species
AGGAUUAACGCUGGCGGCGUGCCUAACACAUGCAAGUCGAACGAGGUAGCAAUACCUAGUGGCAGACGGGUGAGUAACACGUGGGCAACCUACCGUAGAGUGGGGGAUAACUAGCCGAAAGGUUAGCUAAUACCGCAUGAAACGUGCUGUGGCAUCACAGAACGUUAAAAGGAGCAAUCCGCUUUAUGACGGGCCCGCGUCCGAUUAGCUAGUUGGUGGGGUAAUGGCCUACCAAGGCACCGAUCGGUAGCUGGUUUGAGAGAGCGACCAGCCACACUGGGACUGAGAAACGGCCCAGACUCCUACGGGAGGCAGCAGUGAGGAAUUUUCCGCAAUGGGCGAAAGCCUGACGGAGCGACGCCGCGUGUGGGAAGAAGGCCUUCGGGUCGUAAACCACUGUCGAAGGGGACUAUACUGAAGGUACCCUUGGAGGAAGCCCCGGCUAACUACGUGCCAGCAGCCGC